AUUGAACGCUGGCGGCAGGCUUAACACAUGCAAGUCGAGCGGGGUGAUGGUGCUUGCACUAUCACUUAGCGGCGGACGGGUGAGUAAUGCUUAGGAAUCUGCCUAUUAGUGGGGGACAACAUCUCGAAAGGGAUGCUAAUACCGCAUACGUCCUACGGGAGAAAGCAGGGGAUCACUUGUGACCUUGCGCUACUAGAUGAGCCUAAGUCGGAUUAGCUAGUUGGUGGGGUAAAGGCCUACCAAGGCGACGAUCUGUAGCGGGUCUGAGAGGAUGAUCCGCCACACUGGGAAUGAGACACGGCCCAGACUCCUACGGGAGGCAGCAGUGGGGAAUAUUGGACAAGGGGGGGAACCCUGAUCCAGCCAUGCCGCGUGUGUGAAGAAGGCCUUAUGGUUGUAAAGCACUUUAAGCGAGGAGGAGGCUCCUUUGGUUAAUACCCAAGAUGAGUGGACGUUACUCGCAGAAUAAGCACCGGCUAACUCUGUGCCAGCCGCCGCGGUAA
rnacentral:rRNA from 1 species